UACGUAGGGGGCAAGCGUUGUCCGGAAUUAUUGGGCGUAAAGAGCGCGUAGGCGGUCCGAUAAGUCGGCUGUGAAAGUCAUGGGCUCAACCCAUGAAAGCCGGCCGAUACUGUCGGACUAGAGUCCGGAAGAGGCGAGUGGAAUUCCUGGUGUAGCGGUGAAAUGCGCAGAUAUCAGGAGGAACACCAAUGGCGAAGGCAGCUCGCUGGGACGGUACUGACGCUGAGACGCGAAAGCGUGGGGAGCAAACAGG
rnacentral:rRNA from 1 species